rnacentral:tRNA from 1 species
AGCAUGGUAACAUGUUCAGCUGACCGAUACUAAUAGAUCGAGGGCUUGACCAAAUAUAGUAUUAAUUAUGUGCAAUUUUGAAAGAACAAAAUCUUUCAAUAAAAUGUUCCUCGGUAGCUCAAUGGUGGAGCACUCGGCUGUUAACCGAUAGGUUGGAGGUUCGAGUCCUCUCCGAGGAGCCAUUUUUUUUGCAAAAAUUUAAUUUAAAAUAGAUUAU